UGGGUAAAGACUCUCAGAACCAUGGCGAUUCGGGAGACUACAAUCAAUCAUUACUUGAAGAACAUAGCACAGUUUAUGGACUAUGUGGCCGCAACACCCCCUCCGAGCUGCCGCCUCUCCAAGAGGGUCUUGCUCUCGAUCAGAAGGGAAGUGAGGAUGAUGCUGCGGUGCAUGAAGCGCCCGGUCACUUUGCACCAAAUGACGGUGAAGCGGGCCAAAUACGGGCAGCUCAUCUCCAAGGCCCUCUUGAAGAAGUGCAGGGAGGAGGCCAGACAGAAAAUUCCCCAAAUUAUCGAUGAGCUGGAAAAUACCAAGGCUCAGAAGACCCAGUUCCGAUUUUAUGGGUAUUUGACAGCGUUCCUGGCCUCGAUCUAUGGUCACCGCUGCGGGGUCUUCCAAAGCAUGACCAUAGAUGAGGUCAACUUGCAGAAGACCAACCAGGCCUUCGGACCGGCACAAAUUGCACUCUCCGCAGAGGAGUACAGCUGGUUCGAGCUGUUCCUGGCGAUGAGGAAGGAAUUGGUGGGCGGGGUCGAGGCCAAGCUAGUUUUUUUUACAUUAGUACAAAUCCGUGCAAAAAUCUGAACAGCCACUUUCAGGCAGCUUGGAAGGAGAUGGGGCUUCCAAAAUACCCCACAUUCACAGACCUCCGGUCGGGCAUCGCCACUCAUGCCAGGAACAAUGGCACCGUUGAGGACCGAUCAAAACUGUCCCGUUUCAUGUGUCACGACACAAGGACUGCGGACAAGUUCUACGCAUGUAACCUAAAUACCAAGGAGGCAUGGGAGCACAGGCAGCUCUUCGAGAAGGUGCUGGAGAGGGGCCUGACGUGCCGGACGAGCCCAUCGGCAAGGCCGGCAAGAGGCCUUGCAAGCGAAAGCGAAGUGACAAUGCGUCUCCGCUCACCUCACAGACCACAACUGAGGAUGAAGCGGAGUUGGGAGGUCUACCAGGAGUUGGGAGUGUCCUCGGUGGAUUCGGAAGAGAUAGAACUCAUCCGAUUGCGACCCAUCUAAGGCCCAGCCAUCCAUGGCCAAGCCUAUGAGGCAGGCAGCCAUUGUCCUGACGCCUCUGAGAAUUAGAUGGUCCCCGGCAGAGUCACCUUACAAGCUUUCCAAAGAAUACCCCUCCAGCGCCUGGUUCAGUGCCUGUCCUGCUCCAGCGAUCCUUUGCUCCGCACCUGACCCGCGUUUCCCCCGCCCCAGAGUUCCCCGACUACUCCACCCCUACCCAGCUCCACCUGUUCCCUGUUCUGCCAUCCCCGUUGUUUGUUGUUUUUGUUCCUGACCUUCCCAGCUCCUGCCUCACCUCCCCAAUACCCCUUUAAGGGGUUUUCCUGUAAAUAGUUCCAUUUCAUGUUUUUACUUGUUUGUUAUCGUUCUGAUGUUCCAAUGUGUUUUUUAUUAUGUUCAAUAAAUGUUCCACCUUAUGUUUUAAAUGUC